CACGUAGGGGGCGAGCGUUGUCCGGAUUCAUUGGGCGUAAAGAGCUCGUAGGCGGCUUGUCACGUCGGGUGUGAAAGACCGGGGCUUAACCCCGGUUCUGCAUUCGAUACGGGCUGGCUAGAGUGUGGUAGGGGAGAUCGGAAUUCCAGGUGUAGCGGUGAAAUGCGUAGAUAUCUGGAGGAACACCAGUAGCGAAGGCGGCUCGCUGGGCCAUUCCUGACGCUGAGACGCGAAAGCGUGGGGGAGCAAACAGG
rnacentral:rRNA from 1 species